rnacentral:rRNA from 1 species
UACAGAGGGGGCAAGCGUGGUUCGGAAUUACUGGGCGUAAAGGGCGCGUAGGCGGCCUUCUAAGUCAGACGUGAAAUCCCCGGGCUCAACCCGGGAACUGCGUCUGAUACUGGAGGGCUUGAAUCCGGGAGAGGGAUGUGGAAUUCCAGGUGUAGCGGUGAAAUACGUAGAUAUCUGGAGGAACACCGGUGGCGAAGGCGGCGAUCUGGCCCAACAUUGACACUGAGACCCGAAAGCGUGGGGAUCAAACAGG